rnacentral:rRNA from 1 species
CCUACGGGAGGCAGCAGUGAGGAAUAUUGGUCAAUGGACGAGAGUCUGAACCAGCCAAGUAGCGUGAAGGAUGACUGCCCUAUGGGUUGUAAACUUCUUUUAUAUGGGAAUAAAAUGUUCCACGUGUGGGCUUUUGUAUGUACCAUAUGAAUAAGGAUCGGCUAACUCCGUGCCAGCAGCCGCGGUAAUACGGAGGAUCCGAGCGUUAUCCGGAUUUAUUGGGUUUAAAGGGAGCGUAGGUGGAUUGUUAAGUCAGUUGUGAAAGUUUGCGGCUCAACCGUAAAAUUGCAGUUGAAACUGGCAGUCUUGAGUACAGUAGAGGUGGGCGGAAUUCGUGGUGUAGCGGUGAAAUGCUUAGAUAUCACGAAGAACUCCGAUGGCGAAGGCAGCUCACUGGACUGCAACUGACACUGAGGCUCGAAAGUGUGGGUAUCAAACAUGAUUAGAUACCCCUGUAGUC